AUUGAACGCUGGCGGCAUGCCUUACACAUGCAAGUCGAACGGCAGCACGGGUGCUUGCACCUGGUGGCGAGUGGCGAACGGGUGAGUAAUGCAUCGGAACGUACCCGGAAGUGGGGGAUAACGUAGCGAAAGUUACGCUAAUACCGCAUAUUCUGUGAGCAGGAAAGCGGGGGAUCUUCGGACCUCGUGCUUUCGGAGCGGCCGGUGUCGGAUUAGCUAGUUGGUGAGGUAAAGGCUCACCAAGGCGACGAUCCGUAGCGGGUCGGAGAGGAUGAUCCGCCACACUGGGAAUGAGACACGGCCCAGACUCCUACGGGAGGCAGCAGUGGGGAAUUUUGGACAAUGGGGGCAACCCUGAUCCAGCCAUGCCGCGUGAGUGAAGAAGGCCUUCGGGUUGUAAAGCUCUUUUGUCAGGGAAGAAAUGGUCUGGGCUAAUACCCUGGGCAGAUGACGGUACCUGAAGAAUAAGCACCGGCUAACUACGUGCCAGCAGCCGCGGUAA
rnacentral:rRNA from 1 species